CUUUACGUGCCAGACCAAGGCCUAUACGCUUUCUGUUGAGCGUGAGAAAAAAUGGACAGCCUAAGUUUCACCCCCAUAGAUCGACAUGCCCUUCGGGCUGGUUCGUACAUGUUCGGUUUUUUUUUUUUUUUAUCUGUACGUUCAAAACAAACAUUGCAAUAUUGAUCAAAAAAUUGUUGACUAAUGUUAUUUUAUAUUUUUUUAAGAGUAAAACACAUGUACACAAAUAUUUCCUUUUACUAAUUAUGAGAUUUUCAGGUAAGUUAUUGAGCUAUUUCUGUUUGAUUUGUUAGGAGAUUAGUUUUGUCCGUUUACAAGUUAACAUUGCUUGUGUUAUUCUUGGCAAGUAAUCAUUUCUUAUAUAAAUUUUUGUACACUAUAGGCUUAUCUUUUUAAAUUUUAGGUAGCGUGUGGAGAUUUCAUCUUAUGUUCAUGAGCGCACAACGUAUAAAAUAUAAAAUCAUAAGAAAUGUUUUCUGGUGGUGUGUAGCAGUUAACCGCAUUUAAGUAAAAGUAUUUUAAAAUGAUUGUUACCAGAGCUGAAUUACAUUGAGGCUUGUGGAGAACAGCUUUUUUUUAAUCUACUCUUUGGCUGGCGAAUGUAAAUAAGCAAUGAUUUCGUGAAUGCAGCGAGAGAGUUUAUUUGAUGUAUUUUAAAAUCACUGAUAAUAUUUAUUGAUGUAUUUUAAAAUCACUGAUAAUAUUUAUUGAUGUAUUUUAAAAUCACUGAUAAUAUUUGUUUUGUGGCUGGAAGAUGGUAACCAUGGUGACUUGUGAAUUUUUAUGAAGAUUAAUAAAAAGCAGUAAAAAUUA